GAAGAAAGGUCUUCUCAUUCGCCUCGAAACAAACUUCACUAAAAUCCGCAGCAGAUCUCCGAUAUACAAGAUAUCCGCCCAGAGAUAAGCCUGGCCAGUCCGUGACUGGAUGGGUGCAGCAGCUGCACAACUGCACCCUGCAGUUGAAGAGGUGCAUGUUACUGAGCCUUUGCAGCAGGAGUGUCCUGUCUGCAGCUACAAUAAAUGAGAUCCUCUUGACAAAGGGAAACAGCUAGACUGGUUGUGUCCAAAAGUAAUAAACAGCCUCUCUUCACACACUA